rnacentral:rRNA from 1 species
UCCGGUUGAUCCUGCCGGAGGCCACUGCUAUGGGGGUCCGACUAAGCCAUGCGAGUCAUGGGGCGCCUUGCGCGCACCGGCGGACGGCUCAGUAACACGUCGGUAACCUACCCUCGGGAGGGGGAUAACCCCGGGAAACUGGGGCUAAUCCCCCGUAGGCCUGAGGUACUGGAAGGUCCUCAGGCCGAAAGGGUCUUUGACCGCCCGAGGAUGGGCCGGCGGCCGAUUAGGUAGUUGGUGGGGUAACGGCCCACCAAGCCGAAGAUCGGUACGGGCCAUGAGAGUGGGAGCCCGGAGAUGGACACUGAGACACGGGUCCAGGCCCUACGGGGCGCAGCAGGCGCGAAACCUCCGCAAUGCUCGAAAGAGCGACGGGGGGACCCCCAGUGCCGUGGCAUCGCCACGGCUUUUCCGGAGUGUAAAGAGCUCCGGGAAUAAGGGCUGGGCAAGGCCGGUGGCGGCCGCCGCGGUAAUACCGGCGGCCCGAGUGGUGGCCGCUAUUAUUGGGCCUAAAGCGUCCGUAGCCGGGCCAGUAAGUCCCUGGCGAAAUCCCACGGCUCAACCGUGGGCUUGCUGGGGAUACUGCUGGCCUUGGGACCGGGAGAGGCGGAGGGUACUCCUGGGGUAGGGGUGAAAUCCAUA